GUUGAACGCUGGCGGCAUGCCUUACACAUGCAAGUCGAACGGUAACAGGUCUUCGGAUGCUGACGAGUGGCGAACGGGUGAGUAAUACAUCGGAACGUGCCUAAUAGUGGGGGAUAACUACUCGAAAGAGUGGCUAAUACCGCAUGAGAUCUACGGAUGAAAGCAGGGGAUCGCAAGACCUUGUGCUACUAGAGCGGCCGAUGGCAGAUUAGGUAGUUGGUGGGAUAAAAGCUUACCAAGCCGACGAUCUGUAGCUGGUCUGAGAGGACGAUCAGCCACACGGGGACUGAGACACGGCCCAGACUCCUACGGGAGGCAGCAGUGGGGAAUUUUGGACAAUGGGCGCAAGCCUGAUCCAGCAAUGCCGCGUGCAGGAUGAAGGCCUUCGGGUUGUAAACUGCUUUUGUACGGAACGAAAAGCCCUGGGUUAAUACCCUGGGGUCAUGACGGUACCGUAAGAAUAAGCACCGGCUAACUACGUGCCAGCCGCCGCCGUAACAC
rnacentral:rRNA from 1 species